CCUACGGGUGGCAGCAGUGAGGAAUAUUGGUCAAUGGGCGGAAGCCUGAACCAGCCAAGUCGCGUGCAGGAUGACGGCCCUACGGGUUGUAAACUGCUUUUAUACGGGAAUAACGCGCCUUACGUGUAGGCCUUUGAAUGUACCGUAUGAAUAAGGGCAGGCUAAUUCCGUGCCAGCCGCCGCGGUAAUACGGUGGGUACGGGCUAUAUCCGGAUUUAUUGGGUUUAACGGGAGCGCAGGCCGCAUGUCAAGCGUGCUGUGAAAUGUCCGGGCUCAACCCGGGCCUUGCAUCGCGAACUGGCGUGCUUGAGUCUGCGGAAGGGAGGUAGAAUUCGAGGUGUAGCGGUGAAAUGCGUAGAGAUGACGAAGAAUCCCGAUGGCGAAGGCAGCUCGCUGCAGCAGGACUGACGCUGAGGCUCGAAAGCGCGGGGAGCGAACAGGAUUAGAUACCCGAGUAGUC
rnacentral:rRNA from 1 species